rnacentral:rRNA from 1 species
CCUACGGGAGGCAGCAGUAGGGAAUUUUCCACAAUGGGCGAAAGCCUGAUGGAGCAAUACCGCGUGCAGGAUGAAGGCCUUCGGGUCGUAAACUGCUUUUAUGUGCGAAGAAUUUGACGGUAACACAUGAAUAAGGAUCGGCUAACUACGUGCCAGCAGCCGCGGUCAUACGUAGGAUCCAAGCGUUAUCCGGAAUUACUGGGCGUAAAGAGUUGCGUAGGUGGCAUUAUAAGUGGAGCGUGAAAGCGUGCGGCUCAACCGCAUUAUUGCGUUCCAAACUGUGAAGCUUGAGUAUGGGAGAGGUAGAUGGAAUUUCUAGUGUAGGAGUGAAAUCCGUAGAUAUUAGAAGGAACACCGAUGGCGUAGGCAGUCUACUGGCCCAUUACUGACACUAAGGCACGAAAGCGUGGGGAGCAAACGGGAUUAGAUACCCCGGUAGUCCACGCUGUAAACUAUGGAUGCUAGCUGUGACACACAUCGACCUGUGUCGUAGCGAAGUUAACGCGUUAAGCAUCCCGCCUGGGGGAGGUACGGUCGCGAGAAGUAAACUAACUUAAAGAAGUAGAGGCGUGAGAGNGCGAGGACGACGACGAGGGAGGAGG